GAGGUUAGAACGUGGAAAUAAGGAAGAAAACAUAUAUUUACAGAGUAACGGAUGGUGGCCGUUGUCGUGGUGUUUUGGAACGUCAUUUUAUUCUCUUUUCUUGCUUUUCUCCACUUGUGACCUUGGGUAGUCUCUGGUCUGUCUCUUGCUUUCUCUCUCACGCACACUCUUUUCUUCUCAGAAAUACACAGACCUCGAUCUUCGUCUCUGAACUGUAUGGGUUUAUAAUAUAUGAUCCGUUUGUUUUUUGAGAAGAAAAUGAAAUGGAAAUGGCGGCGUUUCGUCAUGCCAGGUUUCUGAUAUUGAUUUUGGGUAUCGUCUUCUUGCCGGUGGUGUUUUCUGGAUUUCCGAAGAACCUGAAGCUCGAAAAAGCCUUUCUGGUGGACCAGAGAGUUGAGCUGAUUGAGCUUAGAACUCGUGACAGGGCAUCAUUAUAAUUUGUAUCUGCAGAGCAUUGUUGUCAAUGGGCAAAUUCUGCCCAUUGAUCCAGCAGUUUUUGUUACUUAAAGCAAUAGAGGAACCAUAAUUGAUUCUGGAACAACUUUGGCAUACCUUGAAGCAGAAGCAUAUGAUCCACUUGAAAAUGUUGUACCAUUGUAAUACAACUUCCUACCUUAAUGGAUGCUAGACUUUAAAAAGGUUCAUCGUCAGAUCCUUAAUUUAAUAUUUGAAAUGCAUAUGUCCUUUGCAUUCAGUGUUGAUGGGGAUAUUCCCUACAGUCAGCUUAAACUUUGCUGGUAGUGCAUCCAUGAUCUUAAGUCCCAUGGAGUACCUCAUAAAACAGGGUGGUGUUGAUGGGGCAGAAUUGUGGUGCAUUGGCUUCCAAAGAAUUCAGGACCAAGGGAUGACCAUUUUAGGAGGUUCAUUGUCUGUAAAUAUCUCCACAAUUUCUGGUAAGGAUGAAGUUAUCAACACAGGACAACUAAGUGUGAGCAGUUCAUGACAGAUUGUUCCAUGCAGAUUGAUAUCAAGCAGUACAAUGGCUAUGGUGUUUCAAUUGCAGGUGCAUCUUUGUAUGGAGGUUCAUCUCUGACCCGAGUACCCCUUGUCUUCAGAGGCGACUGUACGCAGGAUUUGAGUAAUGUUGGCCACAGGAUUGUUGCGUGCAAAUGCACGUGUAGCUAUAACAGUAAAUUUUUAGGAGAUCACAACAUUGAUCUCCAGUAUGUCCUGUGGUGAACGAAGGAUCAACAAAGUUGUUUAGCAACUUCAACAUCAUAUAUGGAACCUCCAUGGCUUGUCCUCGUGUGGUGGGAGUGGCAGCACUUCUGUAAGCAGUCCAUCCUGAAUGGAGCCCAGUGGCCAUUCAAUCUGCCAUGAUGACCACAGAAGAUUCACUUGAUACCACUCUCAAACCCAUCACAGAAUUCUUAAACUAUUAGCAACCCAUGAGUCCUCUAGCCACGGGAGUGGGUCACCUCAAUCCUAAAGGCGCUUGACCCUGGACUUGUAUAUGAUGCAAAUACAGAGGACUACGAGAUGCAUCUCUACGUUCUGAAUUACACUGAGAAGGAAUCAAGAAGAUAACAAGGUCAUCCUCUGACUAGUUAGCCUGUGAAGCGCAAAAGUUUGGUGAUGCCUCUUCAACCUUCAAUCCAAGAGCUCUUCCUUAUGAUCUUAGUGUAAUUGUAUCUAGUGAUCUAUGGGGACGUGCUACCCCCUGUCUUGUGUAGCCCCUUCCAAUAUUAUCAAAAAUAAAAAAAAGUUUGUGUUCCA